CAGCAGCCACGGUAAAACGUAGGGUGCAAGCGUUAAUCGGAAUUACUGGGCAUAAAGCGUGCGCAGGCGGUUAUAUAAGACAGAUGUGAAAUCCCCGGGCUCAACCUGGGAACUGCAUUUGUGACUGUAUAGCUAGAGUACGGCAGAGGGGGAUGGAAUUCCGCGUGUAGCAGUGAAAUGCGUAGAUAUGCGGAGGAACACCGAUGGCGAAGGCAAUCCCCUGGGCCUGUACUGACGCUCAUGCACGAAAGCGUGGGGAGCAAACAGGAUUAGAUACCCCCGUAGUCCCUGUCUCUUAUAC
rnacentral:rRNA from 1 species